rnacentral:rRNA from 1 species
GAUCCUGGCUCAGGAUGAACGCUAGCGACAGGCUUAACACAUGCAAGUCGAGGGGCAGCGAGCGGGUAGCGAUACCUGUGUCGGCGACCGGCGCACUGGUGAGUAACACGUAUGCAACCUGCCCUCCGCAGGGGAAUAAACCGGGGAAAUCUGGUCUAAUGCCCCAUAGUCCCCGGGUCCGCAUGGGCCCGGGGGGAAAGAUCCGUCGGCGGGGGAUGGGCAUGCGGCGCAUUAGCUUGUUGGCGGGGCAG